rnacentral:rRNA from 1 species
GGGAAGCCGGCGGACUCCUUCGGGAGGAAACCGGUGCGAACGAGCGGCGGACGGGUGAGUAACACGUGGGCAACCUGCCGGACUGAUGGGAAUAACCCCGGGAAACCGGGGCUAAUGCCCAAUACGCCCUGACCUCGCCUGAGGUCAGCGGUAAAGCAGGGAUCUUCGGAUCCUUGCACAGUCCGAUGGGCCCGCGGCGCAUUAGCUAGUUGGAGAGGUAAGGGCUCCCCAAGGCGACGAUGCGUAGCCGACCUGAGAGGGUGAUCGGCCACACUGGGACUGAGACACGGCCCAGACUCCUACGGGAGGCAGCAGUAGGGAAUCAUCCGCAAUGGGCGAAAGCCUGACGGUGCAACGCCGCGUGAGUGAUGAAGGUUUUCGGAUCGUAAAGCUCUGUUGACAGGGAAGAUCCCACGUCAGUCGAACAGGCUGGCGUGCUGACGGUACCUGUCCAGAAAGCCCCGGCUAACUACGUGCCAGCAGCCGCGGUAAUACGUAGGGGGCAAGCGU